rnacentral:rRNA from 1 species
UACAGAGGGUGCGAGCGUUGUCCGGAAUCACUGGGCGUAAAGGGCGUGUAGGCGGCUAGAUAAGCCGCGUGUGAAAUCCCGGGGCUCAACCCCGGAACGGCACGCGGGACUGUUCGGCUAGAGAAUGGUAGAGGCAAGUGGAAUUCCUGGUGUAGCGGUGGAAUGCGUAGAGAUCAGGAAGAACACCGGUGGCGAAGGCGGCUUCCUGGCCUGUUCUUGACGCUGAGGCGCGAAAGCUGGGGGAGCAAACGGG